GGGUUGUGAGGUUAAGCGAAUAAGCGUACACGGUGGAUGCCUAGGCAAUCAGAGGCGAUGAAGGACGUGCUAAUCUGCGAAAAGCGUCGGU
rnacentral:rRNA from 1 species